rnacentral:rRNA from 1 species
UACGAAGGGUGCAAGCGUUACUCGGAAUUACUGGCGUAAAGCGUGCGUAGGCGGUUUGUUAAGUCUGAUGUGAAAUCCCCGGGCUCAACCUGGGACCUGCAUUGGAAACUGGCGAGCUAGAGUACGGUAGAGGGUGGAUGGAAUUCCCGGUGUAGGCAGUGAAAUGCGGUAGAGGAUCGGAAAGGAACGACUCGUGGCGG